ACGUAAGGCAUGAACAUGUUAUUUCAGGUGUCAAGGUAAUGAAAUCAAUAGCCAAAAGCUCGUACUAAUUCAGUAUUAUUGAAGACAGAGCAUCUUAUCACAGCAUUUGAAUAGGUGUAAACUGUGUCUGAUCCUCUUCCUUGAGUGAGAUGGAAAAAAAUUAAUUUGCUGCAUCAGUGGCCAUAUCCCAGAUGAGAACAGUGAGGAAUCUCUGAAGCUAGAAGACAGAAGGGAAGAUGGAACAUAAAACAGCAAAGCCGCGGACAUAUGAGCCCUACAGGUGGGAGAAAAGCCCUCCCACAGAACUUCUGAUUAAUUCCUAUCCCAGAAUUCAGGAGGCCCUGGGAAAGAGU